rnacentral:rRNA from 1 species
GAGGGAAAGUUGAAAAGAACUUUGAAGAGAGAGUUCAAUAGUACGUAAAACCGUUUAGAGGCAAACGGAUGGGACCGCCAAGUCGAUCUGCGGGAUUCAACCUGCCGCCUCUGGGUGGCUGUCGUGGGGUGUCCGGAUCUUUGAACGGCCCCCGCGCCUGGCUGCCGGCGGAGGGUGCACUUUCCGCAGAUUGAGCGCCACGACCGGUUCGCGUGGCGGCGAGAAGCCCCGGGAGAAGUUGGCCUCUCCUUCGGGAGUUGCUUUAUAGCUCCUGGUGGUCAUCGCCCGCUGCCGGACCGAGGACGUUUCUCUGUGCCCGCCUCUUUUGGCUCGGGGUCCUGGCCCUCGCUGGGCGUUCGACUGGGGUGGACUGAUUUCAGUGCUCUCCGACUGCGUCUGGUGCAUGGGAUCGGGUUUUCCUGAGCGUGGCACAUGGGGUCGGUGGCGAUUAGGUCGGCACCCUAUCCGACCCGUCUUGAAACACGGACCGAGGAGUCUAACAUGUGCGCGAGUCAUUGGGACUUACGAAUCCUAAAGGCGCAAUGAAAGUGAAGGCCUGCCUCGCUUGUAGGCCCAGGUGUGAUCCUGCUCCGCUGCGGGUGGGCGCAACACCGGCCCGUCUCGUCCGUGCCAGCAAUGGCCGGUGAGGCGGAGCAAGAGCGUACAUGUUGGGACCCCA